CCGCUUUUCUCAAGGAAGAUGAUGACGGUACUUGAGGAAUCAGCAUCGGCUAACUUCGUGCCAGCAGCCGCGGUAAUACGAGGGAUGCAAGCGUUAUCCGGAAUUAUUGGGCGUAAAGCGUUCGUAGGUGGCAAAUUAAGUCUGUUGUUAAAACGUGGAGCUUAACUCCAUAUCGGCAAUGGAAACUGGUUAGCUAGAGUAUGGUAGGGGUAACAGGAAUUCCCAGUGUAGCGGUGAAAUGCGUAGAUAUUGGGAAGAACACCAGCGGCGAAAGCGUGUUACUGGGCCAUUACUGACACUGAGGGACGAAAGCUAGGGGAGCGAAAGGGAUUAGAUACCCCUGUAGUCCUAGCCGUAAACGAUGAGAACUAGGUGUUGCGCGUAUCGACCCGCGCGGUGCCGUAGCUAACGCGUUAAGUUCUCCGCCUGGGGAGUACGCACGCAAGUGUGAAACUCAAAGGAAUUGACGGGGGCCCGCACAAGCGGUGGAGUAUGUGGUUUAAUUCGAUGCAACGCGAAGAACCUUACCAGGGUUUGACAUCCUCGGAACUUUCUGGAAACAGAUUGGUGCCUUCGGGAACCGAGAGACAGGUGGUGCAUGGCUGUCGUCAGCUCGUGUCGUGAGAUGUUGGGUUAAGUCCCGCAACGAGCGCAACCCACGUUUUUAGUUGCCAGCAUUAAGUUGGGCACUCUAGAGAGACUGCCGGUGACAAACCGGAGGAAGGUGUGGAUGACGUCAAGUCAGCAUGCCCCUUACAUCCUGGGCUACACACGUACUACAAUGCUACGGACAAAGGGCAGCGAGCCAGCAAUGGUCUGCAAAUCCCAUAAACCGUAGCUCAGUUCAGAUUGCAGGCUGCAACUCGCCUGCAUGAAGGCGGAAUCGCUAGUAAUCGCAGGUCAGCAUACUGCGGUGAAUACGUUCCCGGGCCUUGUACACACCGCCCGUCACACCAUGGGAG
rnacentral:rRNA from 1 species